UACGUAGGGUGCGAGCGUUGGUCCGGAAUUACUGGGCGUAAAGAGCUCGUAGGUGGUUUGUCGCGUUGUUCGUGAAAUCUCACGGCUUAACUGUGAGCGUGCGGGCGAUACGGGCAGACUGGAGUACUGCAGGGGAGACUGGAAUUCCUGGUGUAGCGGUGGAAUGCGUAGAUAUCUGGAGGAAUACCGGUGGCGAAGGCGGCAUCCUGGACCGGCAUUGACGCUGAGGAGCGAAAGCUAGGGGAGCAAACGGGG
rnacentral:rRNA from 1 species